UUAAUUGUGCCAGGCAACUAGUCGUCAAAUACUGACUGCGACACCGUCCUCUGCGACUCCUUUGUUCAGUGUCAUCGACGGACGUGAAAUGUGUCCCCUUGAAAUAUCGCCGCACAUCAAUGACAGCGUUCUUCAAAGCCACGCUGCCAUCGAGCCGCCUCACGCAUCACCUCCUCCUGGCCUGGUGAACCUGGUGAUGUCUACAUGCAGCCAAUGCUGGUGCGAACAUGAGUUAUGUAUUAAUGCAGCACCAUUUCGAAGGGGUCCUACGUAAUGAAAGU